GAGAAAGGGCUUNGGCCCCGGUACAGUGGCGCACGGGUGAGUAACACGUGGGUAACCUUCCCCAGAGUGGUGGAUAACCUGCCGAAAGGCGGGCUAAUACAGCAUACGACCGGUUGUCUUCGGGCGAUUGGUGAAAGCAGGCCUCUGUAUACAAGCUUGCGCUCUAGGAUGGGCCCGCGUCCCCAUCAGCUAGUUGGUGAGGUAACGGCUCACCAAGGCAACGACGGGUAGCUGGUCUGAGAGGAUGGCCAGCCACACUGGAACUGAGACACGGUCCAGACUCCUACGGGAGGCAGCAGUGGGGAAUCUUGCGCAAUGGACGAAAGUCUGACGCAGCGACGCCGCGUGGGCGACGAAGGCCUUCGGGUUGUAAAGCCCUGUGGGGCGGGACGAACACUCUCUAUUCGAACAGGGUAGGGAGCUGACGGUACCGCCUUAGCAAGCACCGGCUAACUCUGUGCCAGCAGCCGCGGUAAGACAGAGGGUGCAAACGUUGCUCGGAAUUACUGGGCGUAAAGCGCGUGUAGGCGGUUUCGCAAGUCAGGUGUGAAAGCCCAAGGCUCAACCUUGGAAGUGCACUUGAUACUACGGAGCUUGAGUACUGAAGAGGAGAGCGGAAUUCCCGGUGUAGAGGUGAAAUUCGUAGAUAUCGGGAGGAACACCAGUGGCGAAGGCGGCUCUCUGGGCAGAUACUGACGCUGAGACGCGAAAGCAUGGGGAGCAAACAGGAUUAGAUACCCUGGUAGUCCAUGCUGUAAACGAUGAGAACUGGGUGUUGUGGGUAUUGACCCCCGCGGUGCCGAAGCCAACGCGUUAAGUUCUCCGCCUGGGAAGUACGGCCGCAAGGCUAAAACUCAAAUGAAUUGACGG
rnacentral:rRNA from 1 species